rnacentral:rRNA from 1 species
GACGAACGCUGGCGGCGUGCUUAACACAUGCAAGUCGAGCGAGCAGAUUUCCUUCGGGGAUGAAGCUAGCGGCGGACGGGUGAGUAACACGUGGGCAACCUGCCUUAUAGAGGGGGAUAGCCUUCCGAAAGGAAGAUUAAUACCGCAUAACAUAAGAUUAUCGCAUGGUAGAAUGAUCAAAGGAGCAAUCCGCUAUAAGAUGGGCCCGCGUCGCAUUAGCUAGUUGGUGAGGUAACGGCUCACCAAGGCGACGAUGCGUAGCCGGCCUGCGAGGGGGAUCGGCCACAUUGGGACUGCGGAACGGCCCAGACUCCUACGGGAGGCAGCAGUGGGGAAUAGUGCACAAUGGGGGAAACCCUGAAGCAGCAACGCCGCGUGAGUGAUGAAGGCCUUCGGGUUGUAAAGCUCUUUGAUCAGGGACGAUAAUGACGGUACCUUAAGAACAAGCCACGGCUAACUACGUGCCAGCCGCCGCAGUAAAAC